AUAAUUUUCUGGUCCAUUAGUGUUGAUGAGUGGUUAUUCAUGCCAUUUCAUGACAUGCACUUUCCAUAAAACUUGUUACAAUGUCUGCACAUAAAUAACA
ensembl:snoRNA